AGUUGUUUCCUGGGGACUAUUUGUCUUGAAAACAAAUUCAGAGUGUUCAAUUCACUCAACAACUU
rnacentral:tRNA from 2 species